UCGAGGAUCUUCGGCAAUGGGCGCAAGCCUGACCGAGCGACGCCGCGUGCGCGAUGAAGGCCUUCGGGUUGUAAAGCGCUGUCGAGGGGGAGGAAAGCCGCAAGGCCUGACCUAUCCCUGGAGGAAGCACGGGCUAAGUUCGUGCCAGCAGCCGCGGUAAGACGAACCGUGCGAACGUUGUUCGGAAUCACUGGGCUUAAAGGGCGCGUAGGCGGACCACCCAGUCCGGGGUGAAAUCUUUCGGCUCAACCGGAAAAGGGCCUUGGAUACUGGUGGUCUGGAGGAAGGUAGGGGCAUGCGGAACUUCCGGUGGAGCGGUGAAAUGCGUUGAUAUCGGAAGGAACGCCGGUGGCGAAAGCGGCGUGCUGGACCUUUUCUGACGCUGAUGCGCGAAAGCCAGGGGAGCGAACGG
rnacentral:rRNA from 1 species